rnacentral:rRNA from 1 species
AUGAACGGCUGGGCGGCGUGCUUAACACAUGCAAGUCGAACGAUGAAGCCCAGCUUGCUGGGUGGAUUAGUGGCGAACGGGUGAGUAACACGUGAGCAACCUGCCCCUGACUCUGGGAUAAGCGCUGGAAACGGCGUCUAAUACUGGAUAUGUCCCGUCACCGCAUGGGGUGUGGGUGGAAAGAUUUUUCGGUUGGGGAUGGGCUCGCGGCCUAUCAGCUUGUUGGUGAGGUAAUGGCUCACCAAGGCGUCGACGGGUAGCCGGCCUGAGAGGGUGACCGGCCACACUGGGACUGAGACACGGCCCAGACUCCUACGGGAGGCAGCAGUGGGGAAUAUUGCACAAUGGGCGGAAGCCUGAUGCAGCAACGCCGCGUGAGGGAUGACGGCCUUCGGGUUGUAAACCUCUUUUAGCAGGGAAGAAGCGAGAGUGACGGUACCUGCAGAAAAAGCACCGGCUAACUACGUGCCAGCAGCCGCGGUAAUACGUAGGGUGCAAGCGUUAUCCGGAAUUAUUGGGCGUAAAGAGCUCGUAGGCGGUCUGUCGCGUCUGCUGUGAAAUCCCGAGGCUCAACCUCGGGCUUGCAGUGGGUACGGGCAGACUAGAGUGCGGUAGGGGAGAUUGGAAUUCCUGGUGUAGCGGUGGAAUGCGCAGAUAUCAGGAGGAACACCGAUGGCGAAGGCAGAUCUCUGGGCCGUAACUGACGCUGAGGAGCGAAAGGGUGGGGAGCAAACAGGCUUAGAUACCCUGGUAGUCCACCCCGUAAACGUUGGGAACUAGUUGUGGGGUCCUU